UUUUUUUUUUUAAUUUUUUUUAAUGUUAAAAAAUUGUAUUUUUUUUAAAAAUAUCUUCAAACUGAAUCUUUUAAGCACCAAAGUUGGUUUUGAAAAGGAAAAUAAAAUCACUUUCUUGCUUGGCAGGCAAGAAGCCAUAUGGAAUUUUUUUAACUUUUACAGAAAUGUGUAACUUGUCAGUACUGUAUCAAACAAAUGUUGCAUAGAGAUAAUAGAGCGUUGCUUGUAAAUAAUUCAGCAGAUUUGUAAUAUAUUUUUCUAUUAUGAAAUGUACUGUAGAUGUUUUCUAGAGGCAUGAAAGUCAAUGUAUAUAUUAUGGUAGAAAUAAUAUUGAAGGAAAUUGUAAUUCACUAGUGCUGCCAGAGGGAUUGCUAACAAAGCACCUUUAGGAGAGAUGUCUGCAGACUGAAGGGACUGUGUACUACUGUUAAUGUCUAAGAACAAAGCAUUGGGCGGGCGUCCUUCCAGAAAGUCUCUGAGGGAGGACGGAGACCCAUAAUAGAAGUUUAUGGCACUCCCUCUGACAGUGGCUGAGUCGCUGUUCCUUACUGUUGGGAGCGGUACCGUAAAGUAAGCGCCUGCUAUGCAGUCAGGCUGCAGAAAGCACUCCUUCCUUGGAGUCCUCACUCCCUACAGUGACAGCAAUACCAGCAGUUUUUACUCUAAAUUUUUUAAAGAAUAGACAAAUAUAAAUUUAAUUCUUUGGUUCCAAAAUGGGAAAGAUUCCAUGAUACAUAGAUCAUUUCUCAUUUGCUUAAAAAAGAAAGACCACACGCACAAGGUCCUAAAAGGAUGGGGGGGCUUUAGCAGGUGAAGAGGUAGGCAUGGAACAGUCAUGGAGCCUGAGGGACGAGGGGGAAGCACUGCGGAUGGGCACGCUCGCUCGGGAACGGUCGGCUAAGACGCUCUGUAGCUAACAGGAGUCUAUUUUCAGAAGAAGAAAGCAGUGUGUUUUUACUAUGUUUUUCCUUUUGCUUAAGCACUUCAUCACUUGUUUUAUUCUGUAUCUGCGAAGUACUCUCCGAUCUCCUAUGUUCCUUUAACAUUUUGGUUUGUUAAAAUAUUGCCAAAUAGAGUGUUUGAGACAUAUAGUUUGUACUAGUAUUUUUAUUUUACUUCUCAUGUUCUUGUAAGUCAUUAAUUGACCGAUGAUUGUAGACCUUGCUUGAGUAUUUUUUCUAAUAAAACAAAGCAAAUUAUACUUAGCUUCAAAUUGUAACAAUUCAAUUUAAUUUUAGGAUGACAUCUGGAAAUACACAUUCAACAUUUUCUUUAGGUGCAUAGAGAACAUUCAUUACUGUCAAUGUAGAAAAUUUGUGAUGUCAAACCAUGCUGCUGGUUGUUGAUUAGCCUCUGCGUGCCCAGGUAUCCAGGGUCCCUUUGCUUGUCAUUGACUUGGGCUUGACACUUGUAAGUGAGCUAGUUUGGUAACUUGUGCGUGUGCAUAUCUACAUAUACAUUCAAAUGUGAUUGGAAAGUUAAGUCUGUAACAUCCAUUAAUGUUUCUUCUUACCCAGCUCCGAUCUUGCUCUGCCUGUCUGUAUAUGACAUUUAUGGUGGACCUGGGUUGUUUCUGCCCCAAAUCCAUGUCUGGACAGUACAGACCAUAGGCCCUGCUCUCAUUUUCAGAGCUGUUGCUUGUCUUUUCCUGCCUAUUGGAGUACUGAGACUUGAGGGGCCCGAGAGCCUGAGGUGUUACGUCUGCUCUAUACAGAGGUGCUUACUCAUAUCAUGUAGCUGGUAACAUUUUUGGAGCAGUGAACACAGACCACACAGUUUGUACUCAAUAUGGCCAUGUUGAUAGUAGUAGUGAGCACGGGGCUAGAGCUCCGAGAAGACGGUUUAAUACACUUCACAGGAAGUGCUGCCACAGGCACCGAAGCACAUGGCGUUUGGGUGGAACUUUUCAUUUAAAUUUCUUAAUAUUGUUGAGGAUCUACAAUUUUCCCAUGUGUGCUUUGUCUUUCAGGGAUUGAAUGAGAGUCUGUAAGUCAGACUCUGUUACAACCACAAGGAACGUUUGUUCUAGCGAAAAGAAUCUUGAAGUAGGAAAUGUUGUAAAAAUUUUAAAUUCUUUAUUUUUCUAGUAAACCUGUUCAUACAUUAAUGUGGUUGCACAUUAAUUCUGAAUUUCAGAUGAAAAGAAAAUAAAGUGGACAAUACUUAACCCUCAAGUAUUUUCACAUGUGUCUAUCUCAUUGAACAUAAAAAGCCGGGUGUGCUGACUAAAGCCCUGCAUUUGGGAGGACGAAGCAAGAGGAUUUCCAAGAGUUCAAGGCCCGAGUGAUAUCCUGAGGCAAACAAACCAAAAAGG
rnacentral:lncRNA from 1 species